rnacentral:rRNA from 1 species
AAUGAACGUUGGCGGCGUGGAUUAGGCAUGCAAGUCGAGCGAGUCUACUUAUAGCAAUAUGAGUAAGUCGAGCGGCGUAAGGGGCAGUAAUACCUGGGAACGUACCCUGAGGUCGGGGAUAGCUGCUGGAAACGGCGAGCAAUACCCGAUGAUCUUGGAAAAGCAAAGGCUUGCCGCCUUAGGAGCGGCCCAGGCGAUAUUAGCUAGUUGGUGGGGUAAUGGCCUACCAAGGCAUAGAUGUCUAGCGGGUGUGAGAGCAUGGCCCCCACCACUGGGACUGAGAUACUGCCCAGACACCUACGGGUGGCUGCAGUCGAGGAUCUUCGUCAAUGGGCAAAGCCUGAACGAGCGACGCCGCGUGCGGGAUGAAGGCCCUUGGGUUGUAAACCGCUGUCAGGGGGGAUGAAACCGUAAGGUUGACAGAGCCCCAGAGGAAGCACGGGCUAAAGUUCGUGCCAGCAGCCGCGGUAAU